rnacentral:lncRNA from 1 species
UCGUCAGCACACACAGGACGUCUGUGGCGGUCCGUGUGUAUCCGUCAGCAGACACAUGACGUCUGUGGCUGUCCAUCAGUACACAUAUAAGCAUGUUUGUCCUUGGACUCAGCACGCUGAUCCUUCCCGUGGACUGUUCGGGUGAUUUUGGCCCACGUAGUCUGUCUGUUCAGUACACACAGGACGUCUGUGGGUGUCCGUCAGCACACACAGGACGUCCGUGUGUGUCCGUCAGUACACACAAGACGUCCGUGGCAGUUCGUGUGUGUCUGUGUUUGUCCGUCAGCACACACAGGACGUCCGUGGCUGUCCAUCAGUACACAUAUCAGCACGUUGGUCCUUCGACUCAGCACGCUUACCCAUCCCGUGGACUGUUCAGGUGAUUUUGGCCCACGUGGGCUGUCUGUUCAGUACACACAGGACAUCCGUGGGUGUCCGCCAGCACACACAUGACGUCCGUGGCUGUCCGUGUGUGUCCGUGUGUGUCCGUCUGUGUCCGUCUGUGUCCGUCAGCACACACAGGACGUAUGUGGCCGUCCAUCAGUACACAUAUCAGCACGUUGGUCCUUGGACUCAGCACGCUGGCCCUUCCCGUGGACUGUUUGUGUGAUUUUGGCCCACGUGGGCUGCCUGUUCUGAACACAUAGGACGUCUGUGGGUGUCCGCCAGCACACACAGGACGUCUGUGGCUGUCCAUCAGCACACACAGGACGUUUGUGGCUGUCUGUGUGUGUCCGUGUGUGUCUGUGGGUGUCUGCCAACACACACAGGACGUCUGUGGCUGUCCAUGGCUGUCCGUCAGCACACACAGGAUGUCGUGUGUGUUUGUGUGUGUCCGUCAGCGCACACAGGACGUUCGUGGCUGUUCAUCAGUACACAUAUCAGCACGCUGGUCCUUGGACUCAGCACGCUGGCCCUUCCCGUGGAGUGUUUGGGUGAUGUUGGCCCACGUAGGCUGUCUGUUCAAUACACACAGGACGUCCCUGGGUGUCCGCCAGCACACACAGGACAUAUGUGUCUUUUUGUGGCUGUCCGUCAGCACACACAGGACAUAUGUGGCUGUUCAUGUGUGUCCUUGUGUGUCCGUGUUUGUCCGUCAGCACACACAGGACGUCCGUGGCUGUCCAUCAGUACACAUAUCAGCACGCUGGUCCUUGGACUCAGCACGCUGGCCCUUACCGUGGAAUGUUCGAGUGAUUUUGGCCCACGUGGGCUGUCUGUUCAUUACACACAGGACGUCCGGGGGUGUCCAUCAGCACACCCAGGACGUCUAUGUGUGUUCGUCAGCACACACAGGACGUCUGUGGCGGUCCGUGUGUGUCCAUGUGUGUCCGUCAGCACACAGAUGACGUCCGUGGCUGUCCAUCAGUACACAUAUCAGCACGAUGGUCCUUGGACUCAGCACGCUGACCCUUCCCGUGGACUUUUCGGGUGAUUUCGGCCCACGUGGGCUGUUUGUUCAGUACACACAGGAUGUCCGUGGGUGUCCGCCAGAAUAGACAUGACGUCAGUGGCUGUCCGUGUGUGUCCAUGUGUGUUCAUCUGUGUCCAUCAGCACACACAUGACGUCCGUGGCUGUCCAUCAGUACACAUAUCAGCACGUUGGUCGUUGGACUCAGCACGCUGGCCCUUCCCGUGGACUGUUCGGGUGAUUUUGGCCCACAUGGGCUGUUUGUUCAGUACAUACAGGACGUCUGUGGCUGUCCGUGUGUGUCCGUGUGUGUCCGUGUGCAGACACAGGAUGUCCGUGGCUGUCCAUCAGUACACAUAUUAGCACGAUGGUCCUUGGACUCAGCACGCUGAUCCUUCCCGUGGCUGUCCGUGUGUUUCCGUGUUUGUCCGUCAGCACACACAGGACGUCCGUGGCCGUCCAUCAGUACACAUAUCAGCACGUUGGUCCUUCGACUCAGCACGCUGACCCUUCCCGUGGACUGUUUGGGUGAUUUUGGCCCAUGUGGGCUGCCUGUUCUGAACACACAGGACGUCUGUGGGUGUCCGCCAGCACACACAGGACAUUCGUGGCUGUCCGUCAGCACAUACGGGACGUCCAUGGCUGGCUGUGUGUGUCCGUGUGUGUCUGUGGGUGUCCGCCAACACACACAGAACGUCUAUGGCUGUCCAUGGCUGUCCGUCAGCACACACAGGACGUCCGUGGGUGUCCGCCAGCACACACAGGACGUCCGUGGGUGUCCGCCAGCACACACAGGACGUCCGUGGGUGUCCGCCAGCACACACAGGACGUCCGUGGGUGUCCGCCAGCACACACAGGACGUCCGUGGGUGUCCGCCAGCACACACAGGACGUCCGUGGGUGUCCGCCAGCACACACAGGACGUCCGUGGCUGUCCAUCAGUACACGUAUCCGCACGCUGGUCCUUGGACUCAGCACGCUGGCCCUUACCGUGGAAUGUUCGGGGGAUUUUGGCCCACGUGGGCUGUCUGUUCAGUACACACAGGACGUCCGUGGGUGUCCGCCAGCACACACAGGACGUUUGUGGCUGUCUAUGGCUGUCCGUCAGCACACACAGGACGUCCGUGGCUGUUCGUGUGUGUCCUUGUGUGUCCGUGUUUGUCCAUCAGCACACACAGGACGUCCGUGGCUGUCCAUCAGUACACGUAUCAGCACGCUGGUCCUUGGACUCAGCACGCUGGCCCUUACCGUGGAAUGUUCGGGUGAUUUUGGCCCACGUGGGCUGUCUGUUCAGUACACACAUGACGUCCGGGGGUGUCCGUGUGUGUCCAUGUGUGUCCAUGUGUGUUCAUCUGUGUCCGUCAGCACACACAGGACAUCCGUGGCUGUCUGUCAGUACACAUAUCAGCACGUUGGUCGUUGGACUCAGCACGCUGGCCCUUCCCGUGGACUGUUCUGGUGAUUUUGGCCCACGUGGGCUGUUUGUUCAGUACACACAGGACGUCCGUGGGUGUCCAGCUGUUCACUCUACUAGUGAAUUCAUCAGUUGGUCAAGCUAAACCUGUAGCUACGGCUACACCUAUUGCUACGGGUCCAGUUGUGGACGCGGUUGAGGUGAUCGAGAUCGAUGGACCGGAAAGGUUUGAAAAGAAGGUUGACUAUCUGAGUUUGCUUCAACAUCUAUCCAGAUUGGGUACGAAGCCAUUCUCAGGUAGCACCAACCCUGUUGUGGCAGAUGAGUGGAGGAGUAGGCUGGUCCAAAACUUCCAAUCAACUCGCUGUCCAGAGGAUUACAGGCGAGACAUUGCGGUUCACUUCCUCGAAGGGGACGCACAUAAUUGGUAGCUUGCAGUGGACAAGCGCACCAAUGGAAGUCUCACAAGUUUUGGGGAUUUUGAAGUUGAAUUCAACCGCAAAUACUUUCCUGCUGAGGCUACAAUGGAAGUCUCACAAGUUUUGCGGAUUUUUAAGUUAAAUUCAACCGCAAAUACUUCCCUGCUGAGGCUUGGGAUCGCCUGGAAGCUAAGUUUCUAGAUUUGGUCCAAGGCCGCAGGACCAUACGGUAGUACGAAGAAGAGUUCAAGCCAAGGAGCCGUGAAGGCUCGGUAAAUGAGAGGCUAUGUAACGUGUGGUUAGAUGAUGCUAGGGAUGAACUAGUGAUUGUCUCUGAAACGAUUAAGAAGUUGUGUUUCGGAUCUCAUGUUUCUAAGUAAUACAUUUUAUACACAUUUAUAUUCCGCUGUGCUAUCUGUUCAAUUGUUUUAGAACCUCAGAUUCGAACAUGACUUAGUAAAUGAAAGACUUAAAAUGAAUCAAACAAGCAAAGGAUUGAUUAUAUAGCAAACUGGUCCAGUUUCAUUGAGAGGCCGGAUUCGGGUGUUACACGUAACCCGGCUUCCAGUUCAUCCCGAAUCGGCAGUUGAGCUCUCGAUUCUGUGGGAUGGCUCAACAAAGCCGCCACCCCGCCCUACCUAUUUAAAUUUUGAGAAUAGGUCGAGGACAUUGCAUCCCUGAUGCCUCUAAUCAUUGGCUUUACCCGAUAGAGCUCGUUUUCGAGCUCCAACAAUCCUGAGGGAAACUUCGGAGGGAACCAGACAUUAAAUGGUUUGAUUAGUCUUUCGCCCCUAUACCCAAGUCAGACGAACGAUUUGCACGUCACUAUCGCUGCGGGCCUUCACCAGAGUUUCCUCUAGCUUCGCCCCGCUCAGGCAUAGUUCACCAUCUUUCGGGUCCCGACAGGCAUGCUCACACUCGAACCCUUCUCAUUAGAUCAAGGUCGGUCAGUUGUGCACCUGUGAGGGAUCCAGCCAAUCAGCUUCCUUGCGCCUUACGGGUUUACUCACCCGUUGACUCACACACAUAUCAGACUCCUUGUUCUGUGUUUCAAGACGGGUCGAAUGGGGAGCCCACAGCCCGACACCUUGAGCACGCAGAUGCCAAGGCACGCCGUGAGGCGUGUGCUGCAGACCACGAUUAAGGCAGCAACGUCUCUGCGGGCGUAACAAAAGCCCGGGCUUAGGUCACCACCUUAAUCUGUUUUGGUCCACGGCCCGAAUCUAUCGGCAAACCGGAUUGCUCCAUUCUACAUCCGACCGAGACGAAUCGCCGGCCCCCAUCCGCUUCCCUCCCGACAAUUUCAAGCACUCUUUGACUCUCUUGCCCAUAUUUAGCCUUGGACAGAAUUUACCGCCCGAUUGGGUCUGCAUUCCCAAACAACCCGACUCGUAGACAGCGCCUCGUGGUGCGACAGGGUCCGGGCAUGACAGGACUCUCACCCUCUCUGGCGCCCUUUCCAGGGAACUUGGGCCUGGUCCGUCGCUGAGGACGCUUCUCCAGACUACAAUUCGAACGCCAAAGACGUCCGAUUUUCAAGCUGGGCUUUUCCCGGUUCACUCGCCGUUACUAAGGGAAUCCUUGUUAGUUUCUUUUCCUCGGCUUAUUGAUAUGCUUAAACUCAGCGGGUCAUCCCGCCUGACCUGGGGUCGCGUUGAGGACUUUGGGUCAUCAAGACCUUUUGGACCGGAUCGUCUGACUAUAGGACGAGAAUUGAAUUCACCAGCGCAUGUCAAGAAGCUCCUGGCAUCCUUAGUUCGGAUUUUGGCCAACCGCGUGCGGUAACACACGGGAGAUCAGCUUCGUCCCAUAUCAUCGAGAGGAUGGGGGGACGACGAUUUGUGACACCCAGGCAGACGUGCCCUCGGCUAGAAGGCUUGGGGCGCAACUUGCAUUCAAAGAUUUGAUGGUUCACGGGAUUCUAAUAUUCACACCAAGUAUCGCAUUUUGCUACAUUCUUCAUCGAUGCGAGAGCCGAGAUAUCCAUUGCCGAGAGUCGUUUUAGACUUUACAUUGCAGCACUGCUUCCGAACAAACACCGUCUCCGGGUUGGCGAAAGCAGGCUGUUUAUUUGCUUUUUCCUUGACACUUUUCGUGCUGGGGUUUGGUGAUAUCCGGAAGCUAUGCGUACGAUCCAACCAUAACUGAAGUCUUGGGCAUGGAUGAACGCAUAACCACGGAUUCUGUAGGCACAAUAAGAAACUGGCCUACCGAGAGUGAUGUUUCAAGGGUACGACAAUGAUCCUUCUGCAGGUUCACCUACGGAAACCUUGUUACGACUUCUCCUUCCUCUAAAUGAUAAGGUUUAGUGGACUUCUCGUGACGUCGCAGACGGCGAACCACCCACGUCGCCGCGAUCCGAACACUUCACCAGAUCAUUCAAUCGUAGGAGCGACGGGCGGUGUGUACAAAGGGCAGGGACGUAGUCAACGCGAGCUGAUGACUCGCGCUUACUAGGAAUUCCUCGUUGAAGACCAAAAAUUGCAAUGAUCUAUCCCCAUCAAGAUGAAAUUUCAAAGAUUUCUCGGGCCUGUCGGCCAAGGUGUGAACUCGUUGAAUACAUCAGUGUAGCGCGCGUGCGGCCCAGAACAUCUAAGUGCAUCACAGAUCUGUUAUUGCCUCAAACUUCCUUUGCCUAAACGGCCAUAGUCCCUCUAAGAAGCCGGCCGUGAAGGGAUGCCUCCACGUAGCUAGUUAGCAGGCUGAUGUCUCGUUCGUUAACGAAAUUAACCAGACAAAUUGCUCCACCAACUAAGAACGGCCAUGCACCACCACCCGUAGAAUCAAGAAAGAGCUCUCACUCUGUCAAUCCAUACUAUGUCUGAACCUCGUAAGUUUCCCCAUGUUGAAUCAAAUUAAGCCGCAGGCUCCACUCCUGGUGGUGCCCUUCCGUCAAUUCCUUUAAGUUUCAUCCUUGCGACCAUACUCCCCCCGGAACCCAAAAACUUUGAUUUCUCAUAAGGUGCCAGCGGAGUCCUAAAAGCAACAUCCGCUGAUCCCUGGUCGGCAUCGUUUAUGGUUGAGACUAGGACGGUAUCUGAACGUCUUCGAGCCCCCAACUUUCUUUCUUGAUGAAUGAAAACAUCCUUGGUAAAUGCUUUCGCAGUUGUUUGUCUUUCAUAAAUCCAAGAAUUUCAUCUCUGACUAUGAAAUACGAAUUCCCCCGACUGUAACACCCCCGAACCGUCCUAGACAUAUGGUCGAUCAACCGGCCAACAAUCAAACAAGAACAUGACCGAUCGAUCGUCCAACACCCAGGGUUGGAGAUGAUUGAGCCAACCGGCCAGCCAACAAUCAAGCAAGAACAUGACUGACCGUCCAACCCAACACCAUGGUCCAGAAGCGCUACAUGACGGGCUAGGGACGAUCCAGUCAGAGUCACAAAAUUUACUCCACGACCUAGAACAGUUCAUCCACUAACUCGUCCCGCUGCGUCAAGGCACAAGGCUUUGCAACCCGUACCUAGAGUUAGCGUUUUCCGUUAGAUCGAGGCCUAAGGCUUUUCAACCCGUACUAUGACCUAACGUUGUGUUAGACCGGACUAGUCAAAUAUCAGAGUACUCAUGAAGCGCAUAUAAAACAAUUACUUUAUUGAUUCGAGAAAUAUCCAUACAUUGAUAUAAUUCGAGACCGGUCCCGGCCUAAUGCCAAAACGAGUCAACUAAACACAAAUCCACAAUACCGUUUACAAAAGGCAUGAAAAUCUACAUCGGCGGUCCUAACGUCCAGCACCCUGUUAUCCGAUCAUCCUUACCUAAGCUACCUGCAAAAAGGACAACGGAGUUGGAUGAGUAACCUAAUGUUACUCAGUGAAUUAUGAUCCCCAACUAACAAAUACAACCCCUCGCUAUCCCACCCCAAACAAUCUAAAGCGAGAGGUUCACCUAACAACAAAUCAAUCCAAUUCAAUAGAUAACCAAUAUCAGAAAUACGCAGCAGAUAAUAAUAACUAUAUAACAAACGAUAUGAAAUCAUAACCGCUAAUAACUAGCUAACCACUUAACCUCAAACUCAACUAAAUCUAGGGUUCAACAACCCUCUACAGUAACUACACUAUAACUAGGGCCCUUUGUGACUUAGUGUUCCUCCUCUAUCUUCGGGAAUAUCCUACCUCCCUACCACAAAGGCCAGAAGAAGGAACUUUCAACCAAACGCGGCCCACAGUACAAUCGGGUCACCGCACGACAGCCCCAGUAUGUUCGGGCCACUGCCGGUUGCCACACGACGGUUACGGCCCACAGUACGUUCGGGUCACCGCAAGACAUCCCACAGUACGUUCGGGUCACUGCCGGUCACUACCCCAUCGUGCAACCACUCAACCAUAGGCCAUGACCCCAUAUCUCUGAGUGUUCUCGAUCCAGCGAAUAAGGGGUUUCCUUAAACCUACUGGGUACGCUGUUGAGGAAACACUAAUCCACCUCAAACAUGCCUAGCAUGGUGGGUUACACACAAGCUAUAUGGCAUCACAUUCUAACUCUACAAUGCUAACAACAACAUCAUCACUAAACAAAUCAACCAGUUAGUCACUCCCUUACCAAGAGCUGACUAACCUCAAUCAACAAGCAUUAAUUAAUAAGCAAACAUUCAGCAUUCGCUAACUAACCAAUCAACCUAACCAUUAGAAUGCUACUACGGUUCCCAAGCAAUAACAACGCAUGCUAUCAACUCAAUCAACUAAUGCUCAACUAUUAACUAAUCAAACCGUUACUCAGUUAGAGCCGGCCUCCUGCCAUGAUCCAACUUCCAAGUAACGGGAACCUGCAUGAAAACAAGUCAGCAAUCGAUUGAUUAUAACUCACAGUGUUCUUUGCCGAUAAGCAGCGGGUUGAUCAGAGAAGACUUGGCCAAAACCCAUUGGACGACUUGACUGGACUGGACUGGACUGAUCUUGACUUGGACAAAACCUCUGCUUCACCAUGUAAACACUAACAGGUCUGGACGGACUGAUCUGGACUCGGACAGAACCUCCUCUAGCUUCUGGACAGUUCUUCGGCCUUCUCGGCGGAAUAUCGCUGAUACAAAGUUUCGCGGAAAACUUCGUGCUGAAGAAACGUCAUUCUUCACAAACGUCGAGCUUCUAAACCGUCGUGCUUCCAAAAAUGUGAUGCUUCCAAAACGUCCGUCUGAACAAUCUAAGACAUCUUCUAACUAUGGUCGAGCAACUUAUUCGACUCAUAGUUCCCUCGGGAUCAAUUCUUCGACCACCUCGUUCUUCAAAAUUUGCCGAUCGAUCUUUACCGCCCGCGGUUUGACCACCAAGUUGAUGUUCGACCAGUCUUCUCUUUACUUCGAAUCAUGUCAAGUUUUAUGUGAUCAAAACUCAACAUUCCUCCUGAUACUUAGACUCUCAAAUGCUCGGCUCCAGAUUCUAUUUUGGCUCUCUCGACCAUUCUCUCUCUUUUUUUUUUGUUUUUUUUAACGGGUUUCUACACUGACUGUCCCUGUUAAUCAUUACUCCGAUCCCGAAGGCCAACACAAUAGGAUCGAAAUCUUAUGAUGUUAUCCCAUGCUAAUGUAUACAUAGCGUAGGCUUGGUUUGAGCACUCUAAUUUCAUCAAAGUAACAGCACCGGAGGCACGACCCGACCAGUUAAGGCCAGGAGCAUAUCGCCGACAGAAGAGACAAGCCGACCGGUGCUCACCAAAGGCGGACCGGGCGACCCAUCCCAAGGUUCAACUACGAGCUUUUUAACUGCAAAAACUUAAAUAUACGCUAUUGGGGCUGGAAUUACCGCGGCUGCUGGCACAAGACUUGCCCUCCAAUGGAUCCUCGUUAAGAGAUUUAGAUUGUACUCAUUCCAAUUACCAGACUCAAAGAGCCCGGUAUUGUUAUUUAUUGUCACUACCUCCCCGUGUCAGGAUUGGGUAAUUUGCGCGCCUGCUGCCUUCCUUGGAUAUGGUAGCCGUUUCUCAGGCUCCCUCUCCAGAAUCGAACCCUAAUUCUCCGUCACCCGUUACCACCAUGGUAGGCCACUAUCCUACCAUCAAAAGUUGAUAAGGCCAUGCGAUCCGUCGAGUUAUCAUGAAUCAUCAGAGCAAUGGGCAGAGCCAGCGUUGUUGCACGUAUUAGCUCUAGAAUUACUACGGUUAUCCGAGUAGUAGUUACCAUCAAACAAAAUAUAACUGAUUUAGUGAGCCAUUCGCAGUUUCACAGUCUGAAUUCGUUCAUACUUACACAUGCAUGGCUUAAUCUUUGAGACAAGCAUAUGACUACUGGCAGGAUCAACCAGGUAGCAUUCAUAAAUCAGGGCAAGACCACGUCAUAUUCCCACAAACACAUGGAAAGUGGGAACAGACGCAGACUUGACCAUCAUCUUUUGUCCAGAGAAAAACGUGCUUAGCGGGAAAGAAUUUCUUCGAGUCACCGCCAUAAUAUUUCCGCAACCGAGAUCUCAGCAAACAGCUUAUUCACCUUUGCGAACAAUGCAUAAAUUAUGCAAAGAUGCAAGGAUCACAAGUGCCGGCUUAUGUGUUCACGACUUCCCCACUGAAGGAGAUGCCACAAACAACAUUUUAAGCAAGCAUAAAACUAUGCUAGUGAAGAAACUCAGGAGGAUAGUUGGUCUGUAGUUGGGUGCGCGAGCACAGAGCCUACACACACUAGCUAUCCAAUCACCACUCAUACGCCGAAUGUUCAUUUUCCUCGCUAACAUCAAUCUUUCCAACCACUCUUGAGAUGUAAUCAAAAGAGCAACUGGAAGACGGAUGGAACCAGGCCAAGACCACACAAGAGCAAAAAUUUGAAGUUAGGGGCAAAACGGUUCGCCUGAAAAUUCACCGGAAAAGUUACCAGAAAAUUCACCGGAGACAAUCCGACCAUCGACCUAAACCCAGCCAUCGAUAGUGUUGGACCGAGCAGUCCAACACUACAUACCCCUUCGGGUACUGAGGGUAGGCUCAGAAGAGUGCCUACCCCUUAUACAGACAAAACACUUUUUUUCAGUCUGUCACCAGUCGACAUUGGUUGUGUUCCAGGAGUAUUUUUAAUGUAAAAAACAAAAUACUUCGAAUUUGAAUCUGAUUUUUUGCAUGCUCCAUAAGAAUAGUUAAAACUAUAUUCUCGUAAAUUUUCAUGAUUUUCUUUUGCUUCUAAUCAUGUUUUUUGCAUGCUACAAAUUUCGGGGUUUCGUGGUCUAAACGGAUGUCUACAGCAACUUUUGAUCAACACUUGACAUCCUAAACUCUUUGUUGACAUAUUUUUGAUGUUUCCUUUCAGAAAACUUUCUUCAAAAAUAUUAAUUUUUGAAUUUUUGGCUUCUCUGGUGAUUUUGGCUGUCCGUGGGUGAUUUUGGCCCACGUGGGCUGUCUGUUCAGUACACACAGGACGUCUAUGUGUGUCCGCAAGCACACACAGGACGUCUGUGGCUGUCAGUGUGUGUCCGUCUUUGUUCGUCAGCAGACACAUGACGUCUGUGGCUAUCCAUCAGUACACAUAUCAGCACGUUGGUCCUUGGACUCGGCACGCUGGCCCUUCCCGUGAACUGUUUGGGUGAUUUUGGCCCACGUGGGCUGUCUAAGACCCGAUCCUGGAUUCCUCAAUCCAACCAGACCGCGGCCUCACCAAACAAUGCAACCAGUUCCAUCUUUCAUAUUCAAGUUCAAGUGUUAAAUAAUUCUAAGUCUUUUUCAGAGUUUUGAGGUUCCAACAUUCACACUUAAACAAUCAAGCAACAACUAAUGCAAAUAGAUAUUUCAUAGAUAUUAACCAAGGUUCAUACAUCAUUCAUCAUCCUAAUAAAUAGAUUACGCACUAGAAUCGCAUAAGUUCACAAGUUGCACAAUAGGCUACAAUAAUCACACAAUUUUCAGAAUCAACCCAAUCACAACACAUCUUCCCAUGGCCGCGGUCCUCAUGGUGCUUUUCCCUUACCACGGUCCAUUUCUGGUCCUGGAUCCAACACAAACAAACACACAAUCACAAGGUUAGAUUACAAAACAAGAAUCAAAUCACAUUGCAUGGUCGGAUCCAAUCUAGUCAAGAACAAUCAUCAAAAAUGUCAAAUCUGACCCCUUUAAAAAGAGAUCCAAAUACCAAAUAAAAUUCAUGAAAACUCAUGAUAAUUCAGAAGAAAAAUAUUCCCAUAAUCAGAUUCAAAAGAAUCGGCUCAGAUCAUAGUAUACCAAAUAAAAUUCAUGAAAACUCAUGAUAAUUCAGAAGAAAAAUAUUCUCAUAAUCAGAUUCAAAAGAAUCGGCUCAGAUCAUAGUGAUCUCGGCCAUGAACAGCCCACAUAAGAACAAGGGACUUUCAUGGGAAUUUGAUCAGGCCAAGGCCUUAAGAUCAAUGAAUCCUUUCCUGUAACAUCAUAAAACAUUCCAUAGCACAACAUAUAUGAAGAAACAGAGUAGAAGAAGUCAGAGUAAGGAGUGGCCAAUCGAUCCAAACCGGCCAGGCUUACACGGCCAUCAUCCGCGGCCUUGUCCGGUUACUCUUGGCCACACCUCUCACCUUAGGAGUUCGGUCUCCAGGGGCGACUUCCUUCUCUUUCUCCUUUGCCUUCUCCUUGUCUUUCUGCCUCAAAUCCAUCCUCUUGAUCACACGCCCAAACACACCAGGAACACUCAAGAACAAUCUCUUGGAUCAAAUCGGCCGAUCCAAGGUUUGUGUCUCUCUUUCUCUCUUGAAUUUUCUCUGUGUUUCUCUCUGUGUGGAAUGAGUAAAAACCGACCAGAAUGAUCAGAAAUGAGAGAGAGAGGACGAUUUAAACUGUCCCCAACCGCGUGGGCGAACAGUUACAAAAAUCCCAUCCCUUCUUCCCAAAACCGUCCCAUAACCGUCCCAUAACCGCCCAUUGGCGGUUUCUCCCCCUGGGCGAACAGUUACCAAAAUCCCAUCCCUUCUUCCCAAAACCGUCCCAUAACCGCCCAUUGGCGGUUUCUCCCCUUUUCUUCCUUUGGCAAAUCGAUCACUGAGCCUCAGCUCACACUCUAGGAGCUUGCCCGCUCCCUGUCCCAAGCCUAAGACCCAUUUGGUCGAACCGUCCUGCACCCGGAUCAUCGGCUCGCCCAGUAACCGUCCCGGACUCGCCCACACUGAUCCGAACCAGAACGCACCGUUCACUGGAUUGAGCUGACCUCCAGCUGUUCCCAGCUGAGUGAGCUAGUCCACCAGCUCCUGUGAGCUGAACAGAUCAUGGUGAACUGAAUACCAGCUGAACCGAGCUGAUUGAACUCAAACCAACACUCGUCCAGCUGCCUAAACACACACCCAGCUCCUUUACCCUUGUUUCCAUCGUAUCCUGGUUAAGUCUCAGCUGACUGGUGCCCUUAACCUUCAUUCAGUCUGCCUUAUUUUGGUUAAGUUCCAGCUACCUGAUUCCCUUAACCACGUUUUGGACCAUGACACGCUUGUCUUUAGGUCAUGUGACCUGACUGGUGCGUUUCCUUGCUGACUGGUGCGUCUCCCCGCACCUAUCCAGGAUCGGGGACAUGACAAGUCUCCCCCACUAACUUGGGGUUCGUCCUCGAAUCCAUGUUAAAUGUUUCAUCAGGAAGAAAUUGUCUGUACCACUCCGGAUACAUAGUUUUCAUCUUUGCUUCUAUUUCCCAAGUGAUGAGGUCUUUACCAUUGUAAUCCCACACCACUUUGAUCAUGGGGACUGUCUUCUUUCUCAUAGCUUUCUCUGACCGAUCCACAAUCCGAACCGGCAAGGUUUCAAAAGCCAGGUCCUUACCAAGGUCAGUAGGAAUCUCGGGCAAGACAAUGUCUUGUUCAGACAAGCAUUUCCGGAGUUGGGAUACAUGGAGCACAUUGUGGUAUGCAUCCAUUGCUGAUGGCAAGUCCAACUUGUAUGCCACUGCACCCACUCUCUCUAUGAUCCUGAAUGGACCCAAGUACCUAGGGUCCAGUUUCUUUCGUCCAGAAACCCUGGUCCUACCCUUAAAGGUAAUCAUCUUGAGAUACACCAGGUCAUUGACCUCAAACUCAAGAUGUUUCCUACGCUUGUCUGCAUAGCUCUUUUGGCGGUCCUGCGCCUCUUUCAUCUUCUCUUUGACCAUCCUGAUCUUCUCAGUGGUCUGUUCUACAAUCUCAGGACCCAACAUGCUACGCUCCCCCACUUGGGUCCAGCAUAGGGGUGUCCUGCACGGCCUACCAUACAAAGCCUCAUAUGGCGACAUACCAAUGCUUGUAUGGAAGCUGUUAUUAUAAGCAAACUCCACUAAGGGUAAGUGUUUUUCCCAAGACUCUCCCCAGUCUAACACACACGCCCUUAGCAUAUCCUCCAAGGUUUGGAUUGUCCUUUCAGACUCCCCAUCCGUUUGUGGAUGAUAAGAUGUGCUCAUAUUCACUCUGGUUCCCAAGGCCUUUUGGAAAGCCUGCCAGAAAUAAGAUGUAAAUCUUGGAUCCCUGUCCGAGACAAUUCUUGCUGGAACACCAUGCAACCUCACUAUCUCGUCUAGGUACACUUGCACAAUCCUGUCGACCCCAUCCCCUUUCUUGAUGGGCAGGAAAUGAGCCGACUUGGUCAGCCGAUCAACCACAACCCAUACCGCAUCUUUCUUAUUCCUAGUCGUGGGAAAUCCAGUCACAAAAUCCAUUGUGAUGUGAUCCCAUUUCCAUUCUGGUAUGGGUAGGUUCUGAAGUAGACCACUGGGGACCUGAUGUUCUGCCUUCACCAGUUGACAAGUGGGACACUUAGCCACCCACUCUGCAACAUCAGAUUUCAUCCUCACCCAGUGGUAGUAUGACAAGUGGGACACUUAGCCACCCACUCUGCAACAUCAGAUUUCAUCCUCACCCAAUGGUAGUACCUUUUCAGAUCCCUAUACAUUUUGUUCAGUCCAGGAUGAACUGAAAACUUAGACUUAUGAGCCUGUCUCAUAAUCUCUUCUUUGAGUUCCUUAUCAUUAGGAACACUGACCCUACCAUUGACCAAGAUGGUACCAUUGUCAGUUGUCUGGUACUCAGUCUUGUCAUUGGCGGCUACCUUCCUUAGAUUUUCAUCCAGGCCCUGAGCUUGCCUGAUCCUGGUCAGGAGAUCGGCCUGGUUCACAGCCUCCAACCCCAGUGGCUCAUCUGAACCAACCAAGGUGUUGAGGUUCAAGGACCUGAUCAUCCCUUCCAGUUCAUCCGCCUCCCUCUCAGAUGACACUUCAACCCUUCUGCGGCUCAAAGCAUCAGCCACUAGGUUAGCUUUCCCAGGAUGAUAAGCUAUGUCCAGAUCAUAAUCUGCAACAAACUCCAUCCAUCUCCUCUGCCUUAAGUUUAACUCAGGCUGAGUGAAUAUAUACUUCAAGCUCUUAUGGUCUGUGAGUAUUUGCACCCUGGCACCAUAAAGAUAUGAUCUCCAUAUCUUUAAUGCAAAUACUACUGCAGCCAUCUCCAAAUUAUGGGUUGGAUAGUUACCCUCAUGCUUCCUUAGCUGUCGGGAAGCAUAGGCUAUCACCUUCCCAUGUUGUGUCAAAACACAACCAAGACCAGUUAUGGAUGCAUCCGUAUACACCACAUAAGGCUGAUCAGCCUCAGGCAACACCAGGACAGGUGCAUUAGUCAACAUGUUCUUGAGUGCUGCAAAACUUUUCGCACACUCCUCAGACCAUGUGAACCUCACGUCCUUGCCUGUCAGCUUAGUCAUAGGUUGAGCUAUGCUCGAGAACCCCUUGACAUAUUUCCUGUAAUAACCAGCCAACCCUAAGAAGCUUCUCACUUCCGUAGCAUUCUUUGGCUGUGGCCAUUCCUGGAUACAUUUGAUCUUAUCUUGAUCCACUGAGACUCCUUUAUCAGACACCACAUGCCCAAGGAACCCAAUGCUCUUCUGCCAGAAGCUACACUUGCUUAGCUUAGCAAAGAGCUUAUGUUCUCUCAGGCGGCCCAACACCGCCCUAAGGUGUCUUUCAUGGUCCUCCUUUGUCUUGGAAUACACGAGUAUAUCAUCAAUGAAGAUGAUCACAAACUCGUCCAAGUAUUCCCUGAAGAUGCCGUUCAUCAUCUUCAUGAAUGCAGCAGGUGCAUUGGUCAGUCCGAACGGCAUGACCACAAACUCAUAGUGACCAUACCUAGUUCGGAACGCUGUCUUCCUCACAUCAUCUGGUGCAAUGGGGAUCUGAUGAUACCCAGAGGCCAGGUCAAUCUUGGAGAACCACUUGGCUCCACGGAGUUGGUCCAACAACUCAUCAAUCCUGGGUAAAGGGUACUUGUUCUUCACAGUCACCCUGUUCAAACCCCUAUAAUCAAUGCACAACCUAAAGCUACCAUCCUUUUUCUUAACAAAUAGGACUGGUGCUCCCCAAGGUGAUACACUAGGGCGUAUGAACCCCUUCUCAAGCAACUCCUCAAGUUGCUUCUUCAGCUCUGCCAUCUCAGCUGGUGCCAUUCUAUAUGGACUUUUUGAUAAUGGGGCCGUUCCAGGUUCCAAUUCAAUGAUGAAUGGGUCAGCCCUAUCAGGGGGAAUGCCCUGUAGUGCCGCAAACACAUCCUGAAAUUCUCGAACCAACGGUAUACCCUCUGGGUCACAGGCCCCUACAACCUCAUCAGUGUAAAUGGUAGCCAAAAAGGCCUCACAACCAAUUCCAAGCAUCCGUUCUACUUGGACUGCUGAAACCACCAAACUACAAGAGGUUGGCUUGAUUCCUUGGUACUUGAUCGGGGGUCCAAACUCGUUCUCAAGUUGCACCCUUCCUCGGUGACAAUCUAGAGUUGCCCGAUACUUUCCCAACCAGUCCAUGCCCAAGAUUACUUCAUGAUGCUUGAGGGGGACAACAAUCAGAUCUAUAGACAUCGGCCUAUCCAAGAUCACCACAGGGAUGUCCUUAACCAGACCGAGUGAGUUCAUAUCUUGCCCUCCGGCCGCACUCACUCGUUCAGGACCAUCCCAUGUUCCAUACUGGAACAAACCUUUUCCUAUCAUACUUGGACUCACAAAACUAUGUGUAGCUCCAGUAUCAAAUAAUGUGUGUGUUUCCACACCACCAAUACUUAAGGUCCCUACACAAGACCCAUCAAAGUAUAUCUAUCCAUCCCAGGUUCCAUACCAUGCAAUUCUACUGGAAUUGUAAAAGUAGUAGUCUAGAGUGUUACCAGUGAUCGCUUGGAAAGGCCGAGCCCCAUCCACAUCCUUGGAUAGCUCAUACACACGAGGUGUUGAGGUCUGGCCUCGUCCCUGGACUGGCCUGCUAGCCUCCCCACGUCCCUUACUUUGGUUGCCUUGCAACUUAGGGCAGUCCCUGCGGUAGUGGCCCUUCUGGCCGCAGUGGUGACAGGUCCUGGAGUCAUCCAACGGGCUUGGACAUUCUUUGGCUGAGUGAUCCAUCUUACCACAUCGAGUACAGGCACCCAUGGCGUUCCAGCACUCUAAACCGUGGUAUCGUCCACACUUAGGGCACUCUGACCUACCACUUGAGGUUUUACCCUCCUCGGUCGAGUCCCUCUUCCUCUUCUUGUCACCACUCUGACCCGAGGAUACCACCACACUCUUCAGCUUUUGCUUACCCUCCUCGGUGAGGUUGGUCUCCAGCAAGGCCAUCCUCUCAACCAACUCAGAAACCAUGUGGAACUUACAAACAGAACAGUAGGUUCGAAGUUCCACCCUUAGGCCUCGGAUGAACCUUCGGACUUGAACCUUCUCAUCCUCCAGUUCUCUUCCCACAUACCUCCUGAGUCGGUUGAACUCUUCUUCAUACUCACGAACAGUCCUCCGUCCCUGAGUCAAGUCCAGGAACUUGGACUCCAAACGAUCCCACGCCUCAGCAGGAAAGUACUUAUGGUUGAACUCAACCACAAAGUCAGCAAAAUGCUCAAUGGUACCAUUGGUACGCUUGUCCAAAGCUAACCACCAGUUAUGUGCAUCUCCCUCCAGGAAAUGUACUGCUAUGUCCUUCUGGUAAUCCUCAGGACAACGUGUGGACUUGAAGUUCCGAACCAACCUGGUUCUCCACUCGUCCGCCUCCAUAGGAUCAACACUUCCAGCAAAGUGUUUGGUUCCCAACUUGGAGAUAUGCUCCAGCACCUUCAGGUAGUCCAUACCAUGCACUGGCCUGACCGGUGGGUCUAUCUCAAUCACCUCUGCCACACGGCCAGCACCAACAUCACCCACUCCAGCAGCAACCCGAACCGGGGGAUUAGCCUGUCCCACGGACGAGUUCACCAAUGAUGUGAACGCCUGUGUCAAGGAGGCUAUCUGAGCUCCCAUGAUCUGCAUAGCCUCCACCAAGCCCCUUAUGGUCGGCUCAAUGACCUCCUCGGCACCAGUGACCCGAACAUUGUUUGCAUCAACAUUCUGGCCACUCCCAGCACCAACGUUGGACGACCCAGUAUCGUCUCCAUGGACUUGCUCUGGUUGCUCGUCCACAUUAGUUUCAUUAACCUCAGUAGGAAGAGUUGAACCCACUGGAAGUCCGGUGGCAUUGUCCACCUGCUCCACCAGAGCCGGUAGCACUGUGGUUGGAAUGGUUCCAGCUGGUAACACUCCGGUCUGUUCAGCACCAUCCUGCCCCACUGCUCCAGACGCCCCAGUUAUCUCCUUUCCUUUCCGAGAUUUAUACCUUCUUGUACCCUUAGGAGUUACAAACACAAACAAAAGGUUAGUCCACAACUGAACACACAAACCUCAAUCACUCCUAAGUUAAUCAGUUGAAAAGAUUACUUAGAACCCAACUAUCUCACCAUGAGUCCAAACGGCCCCCCACGAACAGGCAAGACUUGCUAGCGAACAGGCACCAUCGGCCAAGGGUUGUGCCCUCUAGGCCACUUGCAUCCCAUCGCCCUUUCUGAUUGGGUUUGGGGUCGGUCAUAAGCCCAACCCACGCCCCAAGUGUAAGACCCGCUCCUGGAUUCCUCAAUCCAACCAGACCGCGGCCUCACCAAACAAUGCAACCAAUUCCAUCUUUCAAUCCCGUCCGGCCGAUCCUAUCUAGGAUCGGGGACAUGACAGCCACGGACGUCCUGCGUGUACUGACGGACAGGCACGGACAGCCACGAACAUCCUGUGUGUGCUGGCGGAUACCAACGGCAGGCACGGACAGCCACGAACAUCCUGUGUGUGCUGGCGGAUACCAACGGACGCCCUGUGUGUACUGAACAGACAGCCCACGUGGGCCAAAAUCACCCAAACAGUCCACGGGAAGGGCCAGCGUGCUGAGUCCAAGGACCAAUGUGCUGAUAUAUGUACUGAUGGACAGCCACGGACGUCCUGUGUGUGUUGACGGACACACACGGACAGCCACAGACGUCCUAUGUGUGCUGACGGACACACACGGACAGCCACAUACGUCAUGUGUGUGCUGAUGGACAGCCAAGGACAGCCACGAACGUCCUGUGUAUGCUGGCGGACACCCACGGGUGUCCUGUGUGUACUGAAUGUGAUGACGGACAGCCACGGACGUCCUGUGUGUGGUGGUGGACACCCACGGACGUCAUGUGUUUACUGAACAGAUAGCCCAAGUGGGCCAAAAUCACCCAAACAGUCCACAUGAAGGGCCAGCGUGCAGAGUCCAAGGACCAACGUGCUGAUAUGUGUACUGAUGGACAGCCACGGACGUCCUGUGGGUGCUAAAGGACACACACGGGCACACACGGACAGCCACGUACGUCAUGUGUGUGCUGACGGACUGUCACGGACGUCCUGUGUGUGCUGACAGACACACACAGACGUCCGGUGUGUGCUGACAGACACACACAGACGUCCGGUGUGUGCUGACAGACACACACAGACGUCCGGUGUGUGCUGACAGACACACACAGGUGGGCUAAAAUCACCCGAACAGUCCACAGGAAGGGCCAGCGUGGUGAGUCCAAGGACCAGCGUGCUGAUAUGUCUACUGAUGGACAGCCACGGACGUCAUGUGUGUGGUGACGGACACACACGGACAGCCACAUACAUUCUGUGUGUGCUGAUGGACAGCCACAGACGUCAUGUGUGUGCUGGCAGACACCCACGGACGUCCUGUGAGUACUGAACUGUAGGACCCGAACCCUGGCCUCUCGACCUUAUGGAGUCCGCAGACUUACUUAUUAAUUUCUUUGCUUGUUUGAUCCAUUUUAAGUCUUUUAUUUACUAAGUCAUAUUUGAAUAUGAGGUUCAUAAACAAAGGAACAGAUUUGCACAGCGGAAUAACAAUGUAUAAACUUUGUAUUACUUAGAAACAUGAGAUUCAAUACACAGCUUCUUAACAGUCUCAUAGACAAUCACUAGUUCAUCCCUAGCAUCAUCUAACCACACGUUACACAGCCUCUCACUGACCGAGCCUUCACGGCUCCUUGGCUUGACCAGAACCAUCCUUAGUUCCUGAAACCACAACCAGAUAAGCAUUAAUCAUAACCGAGAAUAGAACGGAUUGAUUCCACAAUGCUUGGCUUGGUUCCUAGAACUUAGAUAAACCUCAGUCAACAUAAUCAUAAAACGUAUGAACCUACCUACCGUAUCCUAAGUCAUUCAACCAACCACCCCUUGACUUAGAAUCAGAUAGAUAGUCCAGAAUAGAUAAACAGAACACACGAACAGAUCAAGAUCGUCCCCAAAGACCAAUCCGUCUAACCGGAUAGAAUCUAGGUGCGACCGGCCAAUGAAAUCCGGCUCAAUGGCCCAACGGACUUCCUUACCUGAUCCGGCCUUAGGCCUGGAUCCAAUCGGCCGAGUAAGCCUCAAGCCUAAUCCGGAAGGCUUAGCAACCGGUCAGACCUUGCGACUCUAUCUUAGCUUAGACAAACCGUGACCUUGUCUUAACUAGACAAGUCAUAGGCUGAUCCAUAAGGAUCGGUCUUAACCUGUCCCGAAAGACACCGUUUGGAACAUGCACCCUUUGGCCAUUCGUGCAUCUUGGACACUCAUGACUCUUGACAACUCGUGCCCUUUGGGUCAUUCCCAACCGUUCGUCCUAACCGCCGAGUCUUGGUGUGAUCGGAUCAUCCGACUAACCGAACCCGUGUCUAGGGACGUGCCCCUUGGACUCAACCAACACAACCUUUCGUGUUUAACCAGAGAGAAGAGAAGAGAAACGAAUUGAAACAGAUAAGGAGAGCCGGAUGGGACUUAGGAACCGAGCAGAGCCGCGGUGCGGUCGCAUGGACCGUCCGUUCGGUCUGAUGAAGCCACGGCCCAUCACAUACCUUGUGAACCACGUCUGGGUUCUCCAUUCUUUUCUCCUUGUCAUGAUCUCCCAUUCUUCACCGGAGUUAGUUCUCAAACGAUCGGAGUCGCCAGAACACAACACCACCACAAUCGGCCUUUCUCUUGGCCGGAACUCUCUCUUUCUCUCUUUCUUUCUCUCUACGUUUUUCUCUGAGUAUUUUUACUCUAGAAUUGGAUAAUGAAAUCGACCAGAGAACCCCCAUAUUUAUAGAAAACGAGGGGGUAAGUCUUGCCCCACGAACAGGCAUGACUUGCUAGCGAAUGGGCACCAUCGGCCAAGGGUUGUCCCCUUUCCGCCACUUGCAUCCCUUCGCCCUUUCUGAUUGGGUUUGGGGUCGGUCACAAGCCCAACCCACGCCCCAGGCCUCCUGGACUUAGCCCACGGCCUUGUCCAAAGACCCAACAGCCCAUGGCCUCAUGGCCGGACCUCACAGCCCGCCACUGACCCGGACCCGGACCAUCGGCCUAAAGCCCGGACAGUCCGUCUAGCUGAGAUGAGCUGACUCUCAGCUGCCUCAGCUGAGUGCGCUAGUAGUCCAGCUAGUGGAGCUGACUUAGUAGGGACUGAGCUGCUGUGAACUGAACCUAGCUUCAUUGAGCUGUCCGAGCUACUCGUCCACUUCGUCCAGCUACCGUCUUACUCGUCCUAGCUGUCUCUUAGCUUGUAUAAGGUUAAGUCUAAGUUCCCUUAUGUCCUUAACCUUAUUUCUCGACCAUGGAACGCUUUCCUUGAUGUCCUAAGACUGGCUUGCAUGUUUCCUCGAACCAUGGCCGUCCCGACAAUCCUAUUCAGGAUUGGGGGCGUGACAUGAACAGACAGCCCACGUUGGCCAAAAUCACCCAAACAGUCCACGGGAAGGGCCUGCGUGCUGAUAUGUGUAAUGAUGGACAGCCACGGAUGGCCUGUGUGUGCUGACAGACACACACAAACACACACGGACACACUCGGACAGCCACAGACGUCCUGUGUGUGCUGACGGACAGCCACGGACGUCCUGUGUGUGCUGGCGUUCACCCACGGACGUCCUGUGUGUAUUGAACAGACAAGCCACGUGGGCCAAAAUCACCCGAACAGUCCACGGGAAGGGUCAGCGUGCUGAGUCCAAGGACCAACGUGCUGAUAUGUGUACUGAUGGACAGCCACGGACGUCCUGUGUAUGCUGACGGACACACACGGACACACAUGGACAGCCACGGACGUCCAGUGUGUGGUGACGGAAACACACGGACGUCCUGUGUGUGCUGACAUACACCCACGGAUGUCCUAUGUGUUCUGAACAGACAGCCCACGUGGGCCAAAAUCACCCAAACAGUCCAUGGGAAGGGCCAGCGUGCUGAGUCCAAGGAUCAGCGUGCUGAUAUGUGUACUGAUGGACAGCCACAGACGUCCUGUGUGUGUGCUGACGGACACACACGGACACACACAGACAGCCACGGACGUCCUGCGUGUACUGACGGACAGGCACGGACAGCCACGAAUGUCCUGUGUGUGCUGGGGGACACCAACGGAUGUCCUGUGUGUAAUGAACAGACAGCCCACGUUGGCCAAAAUCACCCAAACAGUCCACAGGAAGGGCCAGCGUGCUGAGUCCAAGGACCAACGUGCUGAUAUGUGUACUGAUGGACAGCCACAGAUGUCCUAUGUGUGCUGACGGACAGGCACGGACAGCCACAGAUGUCAUAUGUGUGCUGACGGGCACAAAUGGACGUCCUGUGUGUGCUCACGGACACCCACGGAUGUUUGUGUGUGCUGACGGACACACACGAACACACACGGACACACACGGAGACACACGGACACACACAGACAGCCACGAACAUCCUGUGUGUGAUGACGGACAGCCACGGAUGUCCUGUGUGUGCUAGUGGACACCCACAGACGUCAUGUGUGUACUGAACAGAAAGCCCAAGUGGGCCAAAAUCACCCAAACAGUCCACGGGAAGGGCCAGCAUGCUGAGUCCAAGGACCAACGUGCUGAUAUGUGUACUGAUGGACAGCCACAGACGGCCUGUGUGUGCUGACAGACACACACGGACAGCCACAUACGUCCUGUGUGUGCUGACGGACAGCCACGGACGUCCUGUGUGUGCUGACGGACACACACAAACGUCUUGUGUGUGCUGACGGACACUCAAAGACGUCUUGUGUGUAUUGAAAAGACAGCCCACGUGGGCCAAAAUCACCCGAACAGUCCACAGGAAGGGCCAGCGUGCUGAGUCCAAGGACCAACGUGCUGCUAUGUGUACUGAUGGACGGCCACAGACGUCCUGUGUGUGCUGGCGGACACCCACGGACGUCCUGUGUGUACUGAACAGACAGCCCACAUGGGCCAAAAUCACUCGAACAGUCCACAGGAAGGGCCAGUGUGCUGAGUCCAAGGACCAACGUGCUGAUAUGUGUACUGAUGGACAGCCACGAACGUCCUGUGUGUGCUGACGGACACACUCGGACAGCCACAGAUGUCCUGUGUGUGCUGGCGGACACCCACAGAUGUCCUGUGUGUACUGAACAGACAGCCCACGUGGGCCAAAAUCACCCGAACAGUCCACGGGAAGGGUCAGCGUGCUGAGUCCAAGGACCAACAUGCUGAUAUGUGUACAGAUGAACAGCCAAGGACGUCCUGUGUGUGCUGACGGCCACACACGGACAGCCACAGACGUCCUGUGUUUUCUGACAGACACACACAUACGUCCUGUGUGUGCUGACGGACACACACAGACGUCAUGUGUGUGCUGACGGACACCCACAGACGUCCUGUGUGUACUGAACAGACAGCCCACGUGGGCCAAAACCACCCGAACAGUCCACGGGAAGGGUCAGCGUGCUGAGCCCAAGGACCAACGUGCAGAUAUGUGUACUGAUGGACAGCCACGGACGUCCUGUGUGUGCUGACAGACACACACGGACACACAUGGACAGCCACAGACGUCCAGUGUGUGGUAACGGACACACACUGACGUCAUGUGUGUGCUGACAGACACCCACGGAAGUCCUGUGUGUACUGAAUAGACAGCCCACGUGGGCCAAAAUCACCCGAACAGUCCAUGGGAAGGGCCAGCGUGCUGAGUCCAAGGACCAGCGUGCUGAGUCCAAGGACCAGCGUGCUAGUAUGUGUACUGAUGGACAGCCAUAUAUGUCCUGUGUGUGUGCUGACAUACACACACAAACACACACAGACAGCCACGGACAGCCACGAACGUCCUGCGUGUACUGGCGGACAGCCACGAACGUCCUGUGUGUGCUGGCGGACACCCACGGACGUCCUGUGUGUACUGAACAGGCAGCCCACGUGGGCCAAAAUCACCCAAACAGUCCACGGGAAGGGCCAGCUUGCUGAGUCCAAGGACCAACGUGCUGAUAUGUGUACUGAUGGACAGCCACGGACGUCCUGUGUGUGCUGACGGACACACACGGACAGCCACAGACGUCCUAUGUGUGCUGACUGACACACACGGACGUCCUGUGUGUGCUGACGGACACCAACGGAUGUCCUCUGUGUACUGACGGACACACAUGGACACACACGGACACACACGAACAGCCACAGAUGUCCUGUGUGUGCUGACGGACAGCCACAGACAGCCACGAACUUCCUCUGUGUACUGGUGGACACCCACGGACGUCCUGUGUGUACUGAACAGACAGCCCACGUGGGCCAAAAUCACCCAAAUAGUCCACGGCAAGGGCCAGCAUGCUGAGUCCAAGGACCAACAUGCUGAUAUGUGUACUGAUGGAUAGCCACAGACGUCCUGUGUGUUCUGACAGACACAGAAGGACACACAUGGACACACACGGACAGCCACACACAUCCUGUGUGUGCUGGCGGAUACCCACGGACGUCCUGUGUGUAUUGAACAGACAGCCCAGGUGGGCUAAAAUCACUGUGCUGAGUCCAAGGACCAACGUGCUGAUAUGUGUACUGAUGGACAGCGACGAACGUCCUGUGUGUGCUGACGGACACACACUGACGUCCUGUGUGUGCUGAUGGACACCCACGAACGUCCUGUGUGUACUGAACAGACAACCCAGGUGAGACAAAAUCACCCGAACAGUCCACGGGAAGGGCCAGCGUGCUGAGUCCAAGGACCAGCGUGCUGAUAUGGGUACUGAUGGACAGCCACGGACGUCCUGUGUGUGCUGACGGACACACACGGACAGCCACAUACGUCAUGUGUGUGCUGAUGGACAGCCAAGGACAGCCACGAACGUCCUGUGUAUGCUGGCGGACACCCACGGGUGUCCUGUGUGUACUGAACAGACAGCCCACGUGGGCCAAAAUCACCCAAACAGUCCACGGGAAGGGCCAGCGUGCUGAGUCUAAGGCCCAGCCUGCUGAUAUGUGUACUGAUGGACAGCCACAGACGUCAUGUGUGUGCUGACAAACACAGACGGACACACACUGACAGCCACGGAUGUCCUGUGUGUGCUUGCGGACACACAUAGACGUCCUGUGUGUACUGAACAGACAGCCCACGUGGGCCAAAAUCAGCCACGGACAGCCAAAAUCACCCGAGAAGCCAAAAAUUCAAAAAUUAAUAUUUUUGAAGAAAUUUUCUGAAAGGAAACAUCAAAAAUAUGUCAACAACGAGUUUAGGAUGUCAAGUGUUGAUCAAAAGUUGCUGUAGAUAUCCGUUUAGACCACGAAACCCCGAAAUUUGUAGCAUGCAAAAGACAUGGUUAGAAGCAAAAGAAAAUCAUGAAAAUUUACCAGAAAAUAGCUUUAACCAUUCUUAUGAAGCAUGCAAAAAAUCAGAUUCAAAAUCGAAGUAUUUUGUUUUUACAUUAAAAAUACUCUCAGAACACAACCAAUGUCUACUGGUGACAUAAUGAAAAAAGUGUUUUGUCUGUAUAAGGGGUAGGCACUCCUACCCUCAGUACCCGAAGGGGUAUGUAGUGUUGGACUGCUCGGUCCAACACUACCGAUGGCUGGGUUGAGGUCGAUGGCCGGAUUGUCUCUGGUGAAUUUUCUGGUAACUUUUCCGGCGAAUUUUCAGGCGGACCGUUUUGCCCCUAACUUCAAAUUUUCGCUCUUGUGUGGUCUUGGCCUGGUUCCAUCCGUCUUCCAGUUGCUCUUUUGAUUACAUCUCAAGAGUGGUUGGAAAGAUUGAUGUUAGCGAGGCAAAUGAACAUUCGGCGUAUGAGUGGUGAUUGGAUAGCUAGUGUUCGUAGGCUCUGUGCUCGCACACCCAACUACAGACCAACUAUCCUCCUCAGUUUCUUCACUAUCAUAGUUUUAUGCUUGCUUAAAAUGUUGUUUGCGGCAUCUCGUUCAGUGGGGAAGUCGUGAACACAUAAGCCGACACUUGUGAUCCUUGCGUCUUUGCAUAAUUUAUGCAUUGUUCGCAAAGGUGAAUAAGCUGUUUGCUGAGAUCUCGGUUGCGGAAAUAUUAUGGCGGUGACUCGAAGAAAUUAUUUCCCUCUAAGCACGUUUAUCUCCAGACAAAAGAUGACAGUCAAGUCUGCGUCUGUUCCCACUUUCCAUGUGUUUGCGGGAAUAUGACGUGGGCUUGCCCUGAUUUAUGAAUGCUACCUGGUUGAUCCUGCCAGUAGUCAUAUGCUUGUCUCAAAGAUUAAACCAUGCAUGUGUAAGUAUGAACGAAUUCAGACUGUGAAACUGCGCAUGACUUAUUAAAUCAGUUAUAGUUUGUUUGAUGGUAACUACUACUCGGAUAACCGUAGUAAUUCUAGAGCUAAUAUGUGCAACAAACCCCGACUUCUGGAAGGGAUGCAUUUAUUAGAUAAAAGGUCGACGCGAGCUUUG